rnacentral:misc_RNA from 1 species
GAUGAAGAACGCAGCGAAAUGCGAUAAGUAAUGCGAAUUGCAGAAUUCCAGUGAGUCAUCGAAUCUUUGAACGCACAUUGCGCCCUUUGGUAUUCCGAAGGGCAUGUCUGUUCGAGCGUCAUUAUCACCCCUCAAGCCCUCGGCUUGGUGUUGGACGGUUUGGUGGAGGCCCCCUCGGGGGUUCCUGCCCCUCCCAAAGACAAUGACGGCGGCCUCGUUGGACCCCCGGUACACUGAGUUCUUCACGGGACACGUAUCGGACACAUGGGUUUACGGGACACGGUCUGCCUCCCCUCAGGGAGAAUCUUUCUAAGGUUGACCUCGGAUCAGGUAGGGAUACCCGCUGAACUUAAGCAUAUCAAUAAGCGGAGGA